rnacentral:rRNA from 1 species
UACAGAGGUGGCAAGCGUUGUUCGGAAUUACUGGGCGUAAAGGGCGCGUAGGCGGCCAUCUAAGUCAGACGUGAAAUCCCCCGGCUUAACCUGGGAACUGCGUCUGAUACUGGACGGCUUGAGUAUGGGAGAGGGAUGUAGAAUUCCAGGUGUAGCGGUGAAAUGCGUAGAUAUCUGGAAGAACACCGGUGGCGAAGGCGGUCAACUGGCCCUCAACUGACGCUGAGGCACGAAAGCGUGGGGAUCAAACAGG